ACACACACACACACACACACACACACACACAGCUAAACAGCAUCAAAAUUCUUUCUGGGUAAAAUAUUUGCUAUUGUUGUGGGUGCCGUAAUUUGAGGGCGCAAAUCCAGCCUUGAGGGUGAAAUGUAAGCUCUGGAACCCCCCUUUUCUCUCCUUCCUUUUCUUGUGUUGUAGCCCUCCUUUUUAUGUACUAGAAGGAAGGAAGCUCACAGUAGGUGGCUCCAGAUUUAGAAAUAAUACCAACGAUAGAGAUGAGAAUUCCAAUUUCUGGAACGUUUACACUGUGUAGGUGCUUUAACUGUGUUAUCACAUGUAGUUCCUGCUAAAGCCUUAAGACAGAGGUAUGUUUAUUCUCUUCGGUGUAAUAUUCUAAAAGACUUCACUGUAAAGAAAACAAAUACAUUUAUGUGUUCUCUAAAAGCAGAGAGAACAAAACAAAGUGAAGACACUCUCCACUUUAAACAUGUCACAGCCUCAUCAGAAUUCAGCGACCAAACCUUGAUUUUGUUUUUAAUGUUUAUUUAUUUUUGAGAGACAGUGAGCAAAGGACGGGCAGAGAGAGAGGGAAACAGAGGAUCCAAAGCGGGCUCCGUGCUGUCAGCGCAGAGCCCGACAUGGGGCUCAAACCCACGACCCGUGAGAGCGUGACCUGAACCGAGGUCAGACGCUUAACCACUUGCCCUUCCGAGGGGCCCCAGACCUUGAUGUUCUAAAUCCUUCCGAACUGACUUUGUUCCCUUCCUUUCUUAGAGAAAACUUCUUUCUCUUAAAGUAUCAUGGCAGUAUCCUUUCCCCUUGUGUACUCCAUCCUGCAUGUCAGGGAAGGCGUUCGGAGGGUGUUCUCAUGUGUACCCACUAAUUACUGCCCCAAAUACCCCUGUACCUUUUCCAGGAGGUUCAGUACCAGGAAAAUCUGACUUCUGUAUUCUAGCUGUUAAUACACAGGGGCAUCGUGUGUAUGGUUGCCAGGUUUGGCAAAUAAAAACAGAGAAUGCCCAGUUAAAUUUGAAUUUCCGAUUAACAGCAGCAAUAGCAAAAAAAAAAUUUUUUAGUAUAAGUAUGCCCCAAACAGUGCCUGGGACAUACUUAUGCUUAAAAAAAAAAAUCAUUGUUGUAUGAAAUUCACAUUUAGCUGGGCAGCCCACGCUUUUCUCUGGCAAUCCUGACUGCUAUUUCUAAUGUCCAAAUUACAUAAAUGCAAUCCGGCAGUAAGGCCAAUUUUAACUUGUUUCUUUAUAGUGGGAAUCCUACGGAAUGAGCUCCUCCUCCUGGGAGACAAAUGAGCAGCAGACGUCCGAUUUGGUGAAUGGGCCAUCAGCCGAGUACAACCAACUUCUGUAGCAAUUGAAGCAAGCGAAAGGAAGCACGCGAAUUCUAUUCGGGCUUGCACGGAAAUGUCUCUUCACUUACUUUACACUUGUGUUUCAGGCCUGAAAGGGCAGUGGAGGUCAGUCUGUGCAACAUUCCCUCCAAAAGCCCACACCCCAGCCUGGAACCCCGUUCUUUCGUUCCAGGGUUGCCGGCCAAAAGGCUUCCAGGCCAGAGGGGCCACGUGGAGCCGAAGCGCCGCCCAGACCCAGCUUCCCGAGCCUCGCACCUAGUGGAAGGGGCACACCCACCCACCCAAACAGACACUCACGUGUGCCUCCCUCUUGGCGAAUCACGCACCCCCAGGCGAAACCUGCUAAGAGCAGGUGCCUUUUUAAAAAAAUAAUCUGCAUGGAGACCCCAGACUGUUUGGGCCUGGCUCACACGCCCAUUUCACACUUAUUGGCAAAGCCGUCGCUGAGAGCCAGGCACUGUGCUGAGCUGGGAACACACAGAUGAAUUGGGCAUGGUCCCUUCUAGGUCCUUUCCUUCAUGCAGAGUCUGGCGGGGGGCGGACAAGUACUACAAAGAGCACUACGAAAUGUGCCGGGAAGCAGGGUGUGCACAGGGCACAACGAGAGCGCAGAGGAGAGGAAGCUGUUCCAUCCCGGCGGUGUGAGCUAAGAGGCAUCCUCAGGGAAGUUGGAGCUUGCACAGAAUCUAGAUGGAAGAACGGGGUUAGCGAGGCCAGAGUGGGUCGAGGGGAGAAGAGGCAUUCCAGGCAGAGGCCGGGGUGGCACAAGUGAAUUCGCGGAGGUGUGAAACUGAAUGCCAUGCUUUGGAAACCUCUGGAUACUCAUUGCAGCUGAGUGAGUGUGGGGAGAUCAGGAAAUGGCAAAUCAGGAAGGGUCUUUAUAGGGGCGGCUGGGGGGCUUGGUCGGUUGAGCGUCUGACUUAGCUCAGGUCGUGAUAUCGUGGUUCACAGGUUGGAGCCCCACAUUGGGCUCUGUGCUGACAGCUCAGAGCCUGGAGCCCGCUUUGGAUUCUGUGUCUCCCUCUCUCCCUGCCCCUCCCCUGCUCAUGCUCUGUCUCUCUGUCUCUCUCUCAAAAAUAGAUAAACGUUAAAAAAUUAAAAAGAAAAAAAGGAAUGGUCUCUACAAAAAGAAUGCAUUUGGAAAGCUCUGGGUUAGGCAGUGCUCUGUGGGGUAGUUUCGUUCCCUGCUGUAUUUCCCCCAGGGUCUAGAAUAGUGACCGGCAAAUGCUAAGCACUCAGUGUAUAUAUAAUUAAGUGAACGAGUGAACAAGAGAGCAAGUGAAUGGCAGGACUUUGUCAGGGCCUUUAACAGGCCAGUGUAAGUUACAGAUCUCAAGAGGCAGAAGUUUGCCGAACCUCCACCUUAUUUGGCCACAUGAUUGUUUUCUUUCACUGAAUAAUACAUUUUCAAAGACCACUGUUUUCUGGAACACAUUUGGGGAGGUCAUGUUCUCCAGGAGAGAUGCAAAUGAAUAACUCCAUGAAUGAAUAAGUAAGAGAAGUCCAGGCUGAGAGUUUCGGGAUGACACUUGGGUAAAAUGCUCAGCUCUCUCUGUAUGCUCUCCCCGGAACUGAAUGAUUGUUGGCAGGUGAGCAGCAUGGGAGGGCCAGACUCCGGGUUAGCUGGGCCCAGUCCCAGGGGGCUUUGCAAGACCUUUGUGGGGAAAAUAAUUUAUAGUUACUUUGUCCUUUCUUUCCUUCAUUUACAAGCCCAGAUGGUCCCCCAACUAGUCAGGAAAAUAUUCAGCUUCCCUAUGGGCCAAGAUCGUUAAGGGGCAUGAUAACGCUCAAGAUAAUAACGACAUUUAUCAACCGCUAACUUUACAUCUGGAAUUGUCUGCAUUUUUAUCUCAUUGAUUUUCCAAGAUCGUUAAGGGGCAUGAUAACGCUACAAUAAUAAUGACUUACUGAGUGUUUACUCUGUGCCAGGCAGUGGGGUAAGUACACUUUACGUAACAUUAUCUUUAUUAAUACGCCUCACAACCUGAUCCAUUUCUAACAAAACCGAACCACGCCGAGGUUGAGGAACUUGUGCAAAGUCACACAGCCAGUAAGCGGCAGAGCAAGGACUUGAACCGAAAAAAAGUUACUCCUCCCUGCGUCCGCACGCACGUACCUUCAAGAAAACACUCGUGACCCCAGCGAUCGCUACACAAUAGGAUCUACUUGUGACUACUUGCCAGGUGGCCAAGGACUGAGCGUGUAUCAUCGCUAUACAAGUGACAGAUCGAGCCUGUUGCCGGUGUUGCUGGAUGAGAACACUGAUACAGAGUGGUGACUACCGCAGCAUGACACAGUUAGACACCCCCUGGCCCUAGGACGGAAGCAAACGUAAGAAGUCAGGACCAUGCUCGGCCGGACCCCAAACUGCCCGGGCUUUCCUACGCUCUCCAUGGGAAUUCAAGGGUUCCAUGAUUCUGCUUCAUGCGCCUUCUCAAAUAAAGGAAGUAGUCUGGUCGGCAGAAUUAACGACAUGUCACCUACGCUGUUGGCGCAGAGACUGGCCGCUUUUGAGGGCUUUUUAAAAGUUUAUUUACUUAUUUUCUUUGAGAGAGAGAGAAUCCCAAGCAGGCUCUGCACUGUCAGUACAGAACUCGAUGUGGGGCUCGAACCUACGAACCAUGGGGUCACGACCUAAGCCAAAGCCAGACACUUAAUCGGCUGAGCCACCCAGGCGCCCCUUGAGGGAUUUUUUUAACUCUGCUACUCCCUCUUGCUUCUUGAACGUAUAAGCAUUGAUUCACGUCAUGGCAUAGUCUUUGUAGGUGAGUUCGUAUGAACUGCACGCUUUAAAAUUCAUUGUAAAGUGGGGUGCCCGGGGGGCUCAGUCAGUUGAGUGUCCAAUUUCGGCUCAGGUCAUGAUCUCACGGUUCGUGAGUUCGAGACCUGCAUCAGUCUUCGUGCUGACAGCUCAGAGCCUGGAGCCCGCUUCGGGUUCUGUGUCUCCCUCGCUGUCUGCCCCUCCCCCACUCAUGCUCUGUCUCUCCCUGUCUCUCAAAAAUAAAUACACGUUAAAAAAAAGUUUUAAAAUUCAUUGUAAAGUCUAACAUACAUACAGAAGAGUGAUUGGUGAAUGAUGGUCGUGAACUGGACACCCCUAAAUAAGGAACAGCCAGAUGAAGAAGCAGAAUACCACUAGCCCCCCCGAGAAGAGCCGCUCUAGUCACUGAUCCCUAAGGGUAACCUCCCUCCUGACUUUGAGCAGCACACAAGCUAAGAGAAGCGUGACAACGGCCUAUGUACAAACUGUCAAACGUGAGAUUUGGGCCAUCUGACUCCAGAGCUUACCCAUUAGAUAGCACAUGCCUAAAACUCUAGAACUUUCUCAAUUCCAUAGAGAGAAGACUGUUCGUAGGUUUUUUUAAAAACGUGUUUGACGGUGUCUGAAUAUAAAAUGAUAGGCGCCUGAAUAGCCAGGCCCGGAAGAGCGGUUGUGGCCGGAGAGAGGGGAAUCCGGGAUGAUGGCUGUCCCUGGCGGGGCUGAUGGCAGUACUGAUCUCGAAGGGCUAAAGGCCAAGUCUUAAAUCUCUGAAGCUUUCGAUUACCUUUAGAGGGCUCAUCCCUGAGCAGGGAUUCCCACUGAGGAGACUGCCAAUGAGAAGCUUAGGCGGCCAGCUAGGGUGCGUCUUAGAUGGAGCCAACUUUUACGGGGCCAAGAUGACCCUUAGCUGUUCUGACUGAUACAGUCACUGCCAGGCUCUGCCCCGUCUCUCUAGUCUCCAGUCUUCCAAACUCCCCUCUGCAAUUGUUAUCCCUUUUCACAGAUGAGAAAACUGAUGUUCAGAAAGGUGAAAAGCCCCGGCCAGGGCCACACCACCGGUGAAUGGCGGGGCCAAGAUGCCCGUGUCUAUUUUGACUGGCGCAUCUGCUUAGAGUCGUCACACACCAAGCUUGAAACGCCCCUUUGCUUCCCAGAGAGUCGCUUUAUUGGGGAAUUCUUGAUCACCACCCCCAGAAUGUCAAAUCGGGGUCCUGAAUCUCUGCUCUCUGGGGGAUGGUUCAGAGGGCAUUGCCGGGCCUCAGGACGGUCACUGAUCACGUCAGUUGCUACUGGUGAUACCAGAGAAAGACUGGCGUCUCCACAGGGCCCCACUUCUCCAAACAUAUUCCAUGGAAACACACGAUCUCAGGCCCACCCAGGACCUCCUGAGUGGGAAGUUGCAUUUCAACAGGGCUCCCAGGGGAUUUGUCCGCACGUUAAAGUUUGCAAAGCCUGGUUGGAUGCCAGAGAACAAAGUUUGGUGUACUCUUCUCAAAAUGGGCUUAUAUGCAAUUUAUAUCUAUCUUUGGAAAAAAGACGGAGAUACGAGUGAGAUUGUUAGUCGGCUCAUUUCAAGAAGAGGAAUAGGAAGCUGCCUCCUUCUCGCUGAGCCAAUUGGAGGCUGUGAGAAGAUUCUAAUGGGAACAACCUUCCCCCUCCCUUUGUUGCCUCUGUGGACACCUGCUGUCGUUAGCAUUAAUUGGAUUUGCAGUAUUCACAUACCUGCUGGGGAAAAUAGACCCCUUAAUUUGCUACAAUGUAAGGGGACAUCAGCCAUUUCAGCCAGACCUUUGUGGAAAUCAUGUGCAACGUCAAAAAGAUACUUAAACUCCCUAAACACGGGCUGCAUUGUAUGGCCUCUAACAGCAUCUUGACUCGCAACGGCAAAGAGAAAUAGGUCUGCGCCGAAAUCAUGUCAGCAGGGAGAUCGGAACGGCUGCCCGUUCUCCACGUCGUUUUGUCAUCGGCGAACUGACCACUGUGCAGAUGUUAGCCUUCUGGAUCUUCUGUCUCAGUGAGAUCUAAAGUGCGUGGCCUCUUAAAAAGCACGUCACAGUUCAUUCAUUCAUUUAUCCACUAAGGAUUUUUUAAGCAUUUUUUAAAUGUUUAUUUUUGAGAGAGACGGAGAGACAGAGCAUGAGCUGGGGAGGGGCGGAGAGAGAGGGGGACACAGAAUCAGAAGCAGGCUCCAGGCUCUCCGCCGUCAGCACAGAGCCUGAUGUGGGGCUUCAACCCAUGAACCAUGAGAUCAUGACCUGAGCCAAAGUCGGACGCUUAACCGACUGAGCCACCCAGGCACCCCUCCUUCUCCUUCUUUUGCCACUGGGAGGUUUAGUACGUGUUUAUUGUGUUGAGUAGACCCUUGCUGUUAUCAUGAAAGAACUAAUUGAAAAGAGGAAGGUAACAGCCAUCUCUCAGAGAACCCCAGAUUUUUCCAGCCUCUGUGUCCCCUCUCGAAUCCCCAAGAAGACACAUUUAUAUGCAUCAUCUAAUUUGAUCCCUGCAAAAGUCUGAAGAUAAGAGGUACAGUUAACAAUAGCAUUUGCUAAAGGAGGCUAUUUGAACACGAAGAAAGGGGUUGGCAAACUUUUUCUACGAAGGACGAGACAGUAGCUAUUUUCGGCUUUGUAAUCUCUGCUCGAACAAUUCAGGUUUGCCACUGUAGUUAGAAAGCAGCCACAGGGGGCGCCUGGGUGGCUCAGUCGGUUGAGCCUUCGACUUCAGCUCAGGUCAUGACCUCGCGGGUUCGUGAGUUCAAGCCCCACAUGGGACUUACUGCUGUCAGCCUGUCAGCACAGAGCCCUUUUCGAAUCCUGUCUCCCCCUCCCUGCCCCUCCCCCACUUGCACUCUCUCAAAAACAAACAUUUUCUUCUUUUAAAAAAAAGGAAAGCAACCACAGACAAUACAGAAAGACGUGGGUAUGGCUGUGUUCCAAGAAGACUUUGCCUAGGGACCGUGCAGUUUGUAUUUCACGUAACUUUCGUGUGUCAUGAACUAUUAUUCUUCUUUUGAAUUUUUUCGACCAUUAAAAAAUGUAAAAACCA